AUUGAACGCUGGCGGCAUGCCUUACACAUGCAAGUCGAACGGUAACGGGCCUUCGGGUGCCGACGAGUGGCGAACGGGUGAGUAAUACAUCGGAACGUGCCCGAUCGUGGGGGAUAACGAGGCGAAAGCUUUGCUAAUACCGCAUACGAUCUACGGAUGAAAGCAGGGGACCGCAAGGCCUUGCGCGGACGGAGCGGCCGAUGGCAGAUUAGGUAGUUGGUGGGAUAAAAGCUUACCAAGCCGACGAUCUGUAGCUGGUCUGAGAGGAUGAUCAGCCACACUGGGAUUGAGACACGGCCCAGACUCCUACGGGAGGCAGCAGUGGGGAAUUUUGGACAAUGGGCGCAAGCCUGAUCCAGCCAUGCCGCGUGCAGGAUGAAGGCCUUCGGGUUGUAAACUGCUUUUGUACGGAACGAAAAGCCUUCUUUUAAUACAGGAGGGUCAUGACGGUACCGGAAGAAUAAGCACCGGCUAACUACGUG
rnacentral:rRNA from 1 species